rnacentral:rRNA from 1 species
AUGCUUAACACAUGCAAGUCGAACGGAAACGAUGGAAGCUUGCUUCCAGGCGUCGAGUGGCGGACGGGUGAGUAAUGCUUGGGAAUCUGCCUAAUAGUGGGGGAAAACUCGGGGAAACUCGGGCUAAUACCGCAUAAUCUCUUCGGAGGAAAGGGGGCCUCUACAUGUAAGCUCUCGCUAAUAGAUGAGCCCAAGUCAGAUUAGCUUGUUGGUGAGGUAAAAGCUCACCAAGGCUACGAUCUGUAGCUGGUCUGAGAGGACGAUCAGCCACACUGGGACUGAGACACGGCCCAGACUCCUACGGGAGGCAGCAGUGGGGAAUAUUGCACAAUGGGCGCAAGCCUGAUGCAGCAAUGCUGCGUGUGUGAAGAAGGCCUUAGGGUUGUAAAGCACUUUCAAUAGAGAAGAAAAGCUUAGAGUUAAUAACUCUAAGCAUUGACGUAACCUAUAGAAGAAGCACCGGCUAAAUCCGUGCCAGCAGCCGCGGUAAUACGGAUGGUGCGAGCGUUAAUCGGAAUUACUGGGCGUAAAGCGCGCGUAGGCUGUUUUAUAAGUCGGAUGUGAAAUCCCCGGGCUCAACCUGGGAACUGCAUCCGAAACUAUUUAACUAGAGUAUGGGAGAGGUAAGUAGAAUUUCCGGUGUAGCGGUGAAAUGCGUAGAUAUCGGAAGGAACACCAGUGG